AUAAUUACAAUUAAAUUUCAUUUUUAUAACAAGGUUAAGGAAAAUAAGCUUAAAAAAAUGUUGAAUCUAUUAAGAGAUUUUAAAAAUAAUAAUAAGAAAUGAUGACCCCCUCCUUUUAUUAUAGGUAAAUAUAGCAAUCACUGAAAAACAUUUUCAAGUGCUGUAAAUGGUUCUAGUUAAGUACCUAUAAGUUUCCAAAACAGUCUAUUAUAAUUUUUGAACUGUUUACAUUCAUAACAUAAAACACCACUAUUAUGUCUGUAAAAACUGAAAAAGUUAAUUUUAUUGUUUACCCAAAUAAAAUUAGUGAUUAUUUGGAAAUGCUAUUAAAAAAAGGUAGUAAAUAUUUGAAUUUGGAUUAUAGUUUUUAAUAAAUUUUUAGUUUUCAGAUAAUAAUCAAUCAUACAUUAUUCCUAUCCAUCUUUACACAUCAAGCAAAGAAAGACUUUAAAUAUUUGGAGACAGUUAUAACCCCCGGUGACUGAAAUAGUCAGAGAUUUGGAUUGGACUUAGCCCCCACAAGAAUCGAAAUCUUCCUACCCCAAAAUUAUUGAUUAUUUGUCAAAGUAUAAAAUCGGUACUUAUUUUACAACAAUUCCUUCAAUCUUGGACCUCUACAAAAUAAUUUUUUUUCCUAAUUUUUGAAACAAUAAAAUAAAAUAUUUCUUAAAGUGUGUUUCACAACUCAUACAAACUACUACAAAUAACCAUAUCAAUAUCAAUCAGCUUGGCUACAUGUGGAUGAAGCUUUUCUGCUAUGGGCAAAGUCAAAACAUGGCUACAUACGAGUAUGCUGGAAGAAAAAUUUAAUAAUUCUUCAAUACUAUUCAUUAAAAAAGAUAUCAAUAUCAACAUUGAGAACGUUAUAGAUGUAUUUGGUUGUAAAAUAGGUUACUUGUAC